CCUACGUGUGGCUGCAGUGAGGAAUAUUGGUCAAUGGACGAGAGUCUGAACCAGCCAUGUAGCGUGCAGGAUGACUGCCCUAUGGGUUGUACACUUCUUUUAUAUGGGAAUAAAAUGUUCCACGUGUGGGAUUUUGUAUGUACCAUCUGAAUAAGGAUCGGCUAACUCCGUGCCAGCAGCCGCGGUAAUACGGAGGAUCCGAGCGUUAUCCGGAUUUAUUGGGUUUAAAGGGAGCGUAGGUGGAUUGUUAAGUCAGUUGUGAAAGUUUGCGGCUCAACCGUAAAAUUGGAGUUGAUACUGGCAGUCGUGAGUACAGUAGAGGUGGGCGGAAUGCGUGGUGUAGCGGUGAAAUGCUUAGAUAUCACGAAGAACUCCGAUUGCGAAGGCAGUUCACGGGACUGCAACUGACACUGAGGCUCGAAAGGGUGGGUAUCAAACAGGAUUAGAUACCCCAGUAGUC
rnacentral:rRNA from 1 species